GCGCCGUUGCCGGGGAGAGAGACGGUUUGCUGAGAUAACUUUAAGUCUUGCUAUUAUCUUGUAUUAUACUUUUAUACUUUUAUUCUUUUAUCUUUUUAUUUUUUCCAUCUUUAUGGAUAACUCAAAUUCCACACCUAUUAUUCAAUUUUUUGCACCUUCGGAGACCAGCCAUAGACCAUGGGAGUCAACAAGUCCUGCCCCUAAUUAUGAUCUAUGUCCGGAGUUGAUUGCAAUAGGUCAAAACCAACCCUUUUUUAUAGCCAAGGUCCUAUCUUUUAAUCAAGGAGAUAAUGAACAUUUAGCUACACCUAGA
rnacentral:lncRNA from 1 species